GACGAACGCUGGCGGCGGGCUUAACACAUGCAAGUCGAACGGAAAGGGCCUGCUUUUGUGGGGUGCUCGAGUGGCGAACGGGUGAGUAACACGUGAGUAACCUGCCCUGGACUUUGGGAUAACUGCAGGAAACUGGGGCUAAUACCGGAUAGGUGAUGCAGCUGGAUGGUGGGGGUUGGAAAGUUUCGGCGGUGGGGGACGGACGCGCGGGUUAUCAGCUUGUGGGUGGGGGAGUGGCCUACGAACGCUUUGAUGGGUGGUCGGCCGGAGAGGUUGACCGGCCUCAUUGGUACUAAGAUACGGCCCAGUCUCCUACAGUAGACAGCAGUGGGGAAUAUUGCCCAAUGGUCCGAAGCCUGAUACGACAACGCCCCGUGCGUGAUGACGUCUUUCGGGUUGUAAACCGCUUUCGCCUGUGACGAAGCUUGAGUGACGUUAAUGGGUAAAGAAGCACCGGCUAACUACGUG
rnacentral:rRNA from 1 species